rnacentral:miRNA from 1 species
GGGGCAGGGCUGGGCUGGGCUGGGCAGGGCGGAGUGUGUACAGCCCGCUGGCUG